UACGGAGGAUCCAAGCGUUAUCCGGAUUUAUUGGGUUUAAAGGGUGCGCAGGCGGGAUAAUAAGUCAGUGGUGAAAGUUUGCAGCUUAACUGUAAAAUUGCCGUUGAAACUGUUAUUCUUGAGUGCAGACAAGGUAGGCGGAAUGUAUUGUGUAGCGGUGAAAUGCUUAGAUAUAAUACAGAACCCCGAUUGCGAAGGCAGCUUACCGGACUGUAACUGACGCUCAGGCACGAAAGCGUGGGGAUCAAACAGGAUUAGAUACCCUGGUAGUCCACGCAGUAAACGAUGAAUACUAGCUGUUCGCGAUAUACAGCGAGUGGCACAGCGAAAGCGUUAAGUAUUCCACCUGGGGAGUACGUUCGCAAGAAUGAA
rnacentral:rRNA from 1 species